CUCUCUCUCUCUCUCUCUCUCUCUCUCUCUCUCUCCACGUCUCCAUAACUUUUGGAGAAGUUUCGUAAACAAUUCGAUCUCAAUUAUCUUAGGAAUUUGGUAAAAGUUCUAUGUCCAUAAGGUCUUGGAGGUGGAGGUGUCUGCAAACUGUAAGAAAAAUCAACAAACAAUUUUUUGGUGUCCAUAAUAAUGAGUCCAUUUAAAUAUAUCCAUUCAGAAAACUUUUUACUGAUUCAUAUUCAUUCUAAAUACCUUUUUUU
rnacentral:sRNA from 1 species